rnacentral:rRNA from 1 species
GAUGAACGCUAGCUACAGGCUUAACACAUGCAAGUCGAGGGGCAGCAUGGUCUUAGCUUGCUAAGGCCGAUGGCGACCGGCGCACGGGUGAGUAACACGUAUCCAACCUGCCGUCUACUCUUGGACAGCCUUCUGAAAGGAAGAUUAAUACAAGAUGGCAUCAUGAGUCCGCAUGUUCACAUGAUUAAAGGUAUUCCGGUAGACGAUGGGGAUGCGUUCCAUUAGAUAGUAGGCGGGGUAACGGCCCACCUAGUCUUCGAUGGAUAGGGGUUCUGAGAGGAAGGUCCCCCACAUUGGAACUGAGACACGGUCCAAACUCCUACGGGAGGCAGCAGUGAGGAAUAUUGGUCAAUGGGCGAGAGCCUGAACCAGCCAAGUAGCGUGAAGGAUGACUACCCUAUGGGUUGUAAACUUCUUUUAUAAAGGAAUAAAGUCGGGUAUGCAUACCCGUUUGCAUGUACUUUAUGAAUAAGGAUCGGCUAACUCCGUGCCAGCAGCCGCGGUAAUACGGAGGAUCCGAGCGUUAUCCGGAUUUAUUGGGUUUAAAGGGAGCGUAGAUGGAUGUUUAAGUCAGUUGUGAAAGUUUGCGGCUCAACCGUAAAAUUGCAGUUGAUACUGGAUAUCUUGAGUGCAGUUGAGGCAGGCGGAAUUCGUGGUGUAGCGGUGAAAUGCUUAGAUAUCACGAAGAACUCCGAUUGCGAAGGCAGCCUGCUAAGCUGCAACUGACAUUGAGGCUCGAAAGUGUGGGUAUCAAACAGGAUUAGAUACCCUGGUAGUCCACACGGUAAACGAUGAAUACUCGCUGUUUGCGAUAUACGGCAAGCGGCCAAGCGAAAGCGUUAAGUAUUCCACCUGGGGAGUACGCCGGCAACGGUGAAACUCAAAGGAAUUGACGGGGGCCCGCACAAGCGGAGGAACAUGUGGUUUAAUUCGAUGAUACGCGAGGAACCUUACCCGGGCUUAAAUUGCAGAUGAAUUACGGUGAAAGCCGUAAGCCGCAAGGCAUCUGUGAAGGUGCUGCAUGGUUGUCGUCAGCUCGUGCCGUGAGGUGUCGGCUUAAGUGCCAUAACGAGCGCAACCCUUGUUGUCAGUUACUAACAGGUUCCGCUGAGGACUCUGACAAGACUGCCAUCGUAAGAUGUGAGGAAGGUGGGGAUGACGUCAAAUCAGCACGGCCCUUACGUCCGGGGCUACACACGUGUUACAAUGGGGGGUACAGAGGGCCGCUACCACGCGAGUGGAUGCCAAUCCCCAAAACCUCUCUCAGUUCGGACUGGAGUCUGCAACCCGACUCCACGAAGCUGGAUUCGCUAGUAAUCGCGCAUCAGCCACGGCGCGGUGAAUACGUUCCCGGGCCUUGUACACACCGCCCGUCAAGCCAUGGGAGCCGGGGGUACCUGAAGUGCGUAACCGCGAGGAGCGCCCUAGGGUA